GUGUGUGUGUGUGUGUAGAAAGAG
rnacentral:piRNA from 1 species